rnacentral:rRNA from 1 species
GAUGAACGCUAGCGGCAGGCUUAAUACAUGCAAGUCGAGGGGCAGCAUGAAUGUAGCAAUACAUUUGAUGGCGACCGGCAAACGGAUGCGGAACACGUACACAACCUUCCUAUAAGUGGGGAAUAGCCCAGAGAAAUCUGGAUUAAUACCCCGUAACAUAAUGAUGUGGCAUCACAUUAUUAUUAUAGCUACGGCGCUUAUUGAUGGGUGUGCGGCUGAUUAGAUAGUUGGAGGGGUAACGGCCCACCAAGUCUACGAUCAGUAGCUGAUGUGAGAGCAUGAUCAGCCACACGGGCACUGAGACACGGGCCCGACUCCUACGGGAGGCAGCAGUAAGGAAUAUUGGUCAACGGACGCAAGUCUGAACCAGCCAUGCCGCGUGAAGGAUUAAGGUCCUCUGGAUUGUAAACUUCUUUUAUCUGGGACGAAAAAAGGCGAUUCUUCGUCACUUGACGGUACCAGAUGAAUAAGCACCGGCUAACUCCGUGCCAGCAGCCGCCGCCGUAA